rnacentral:lncRNA from 1 species
UGGACCACUACACAAUUCAAUAUUCAAAUUCAAAUAUCAAACAUUUUUAAACAAAAAGGAAAAAAAAAGUGCACUGUGCAGUGCUGGCGGCCUGCUCGGACCCGGCCCAAGACGGCCCGCGAGCUCUCCCGCGCUCAGCGCCCUCUCCCUCUCUCUCUCACGCGGUCGCUGACGGGCGGGUCCCGCCCGUCAGCUCCGUCUCCUUCCUAGCGCC